AGCGAACGCUGGCGGCAGGCCUAACACAUGCAAGUCGAACGAACUCUUCGGAGUUAGUGGCGGACGGGUGCGUAACACGUGGGAACGUGCCCUUUGGUUCGGAAUAACUCAGGGAAACUUGUGCUAAUACCGAAUGUGCCCUUCGGGGGAAAGAUUUAUCGCCAUUAGAGCGGCCCGCGUCUGAUUAGCUAGUUGGUGAGGUAACGGCUCACCAAGGCGACGAUCAGUAGCUGGUCUGAGAGGAUGACCAGCCACACUGGGACUGAGACACGGCCCAGACUCCUACGGGAGGCAGCAGUGGGGAAUCUUGCGCAAUGGGCGAAAGCCUGACGCAGCCAUGCCGCGUGAAUGAUGAAGGUCUUAGGAUUGUAAAAUUCUUUCACCGGGGACGAUAAUGACGGUACCCGGAGAAGAAGCCCCGGCUAACUUCGUG
rnacentral:rRNA from 1 species